AGAUGUUUGCUGGGGAUUUGGUUUUGCACUUUUCACGGCCGUCCUGCACCUAGACUCGUAUCACGUCUACACGCUGUCUUAUGGAUGUGGCAUCAUUGUGUUUGCACUCAGGGGAGCAAAACGGAAAUACAGCUCUUUAUGGAAACUGAGAGAGGGAGAGCAGUCCUGAUGGUAAAAGGAGUUUACUGCCACAGACAGUGAAGUUACAAGCAUGGAUGUUUAAGAAUGCUUUAUUUAGUUUGGCAUUUUGUUGUUAAUAAGAAAAAUUUACAAAUCAUGGAUGUAACCUAAAGACUGGUAUUGCAGACGUGUACUCCACAUUUACAUGAAAAACUGUUUCAUAUUUAUACAGAAGCUGUGAUUCUUGAUCAUUUUUAAUUUAUUUGAACUCAAUUAAAAGUUAAAGAACAGAUUCCUUCAUAUACUGUGUGUGGUGCUUGAAUGCAUGGACACAAAGGCAUUUAUUGGAAAAAGGAACAAGUGAACGCUCAGGGUCAAAUGCAGAUGGCUUUAUUACAUGAACGUAAGAUGCAUACAAAAUUUCAAGUAACAAAGAGAGUGUUUGGUCUUGAUUGAUUCACAAGUCGGACAGAACUCUACCGUCAUAGACAACAGCCAAAACCAUAUUCUCCAGCAGCACUGGAGGGAUGUUCAACCCUCCACCUUUAUGUAAGAGAUGAUGUCACUGAGCACACACUGAUUAUUACUAUCACACUGCUGGUGUGGUCCAGAUGUACAAGUGUAGCACAAAUGAACACUGAGGUGUGUGUGUUUAAAUAGUAACAAAGGAAAAAAUGCUAUAGAGAGAUGAUUUUAAAUCCACAACAGUUGGGAAAUUGUAUGAAGAUGUUUUAUGUUUUGUGUGACUGCUCUUAAUGACCUAACUACAUUUGUUCAUUUUAUAUUUUUCUCCACUACCUUCUACAAACAACAACUCGGUUUGAUUCUUUCCCACACCCUUGUCAUUUAAAACAUCUACUUAAAAACUACGCCCCACCCAGUAUUAUCAAAGCUACAUCAUAACAAUAUAAAAAACAAAUUUCAUCAGUACACAUGAGGGUACAUGGUUUUGUUGGACGAGUGAAUUAUGGCCACGUAUUGAUGACUGAAAUGGAUGCAUGACAGUGCUGGUAUUACAAGUACACGUGAAUCUGUCUGCUUGUAUUUGUGUGUACAUGACAUCUGUCAAUGUGUGUUUCUAUGCUAAAUGCGGAGAACAAUUUCAUGUAUGCAUGUGAAAAUGUUAAACGUGACCGCCCCCGCCCACCGCUCCAGUAUAUGUAUGUGUACAUGGCAUCUGUCAAUGUAUGUUUCUAUGCGUGUUUCGACAGGUGACAACCGGAUGGAACAAUUUCAUGUAUGCAUGUAAAAGUGUUAAACGUGACAAUAAAAGUGUAUAUCUUCUUCUUCUACAUGUGGAAGUCUACUUCAAAGCGUACAGCACAAAAUCACAUUACUUCAGUACACACUUGGGGGGCAUUUACGGUGAAGGGGUUGUUUAGAGAUGGGUGUCAUGUGAAUCAAAAUCAUACUUUCAUCCGCAGGGGUGUG